rnacentral:tRNA from 1 species
UGUAGUCUGGUGUUAUUUAGUGCAUUCUUUGUUUUGGUCAAAGAGGGGAUAUUUGGUUUCGGCUAUAA